GCGCCCGUAGCUCAGUCUGGAUAGAGCGUCUGCCUCCGGAGCAGAAGGCCGUGCGUUCGAGUCGCGCCGGGCGCACCA
rnacentral:tRNA from 1 species